AGAGUUUGAUCAUGGCUCAGAUUGAACGCUGGCGGCAUGCCUUACACAUGCAAGUCGAACGGUAACGCGGGGGCAACCCUGGCGACGAGUGGCGAACGGGUGAGUAGCGCAUCGGAACGUGCCCAGUAGUGGGGGAUAGCUCGGCGAAAGCCGGAUUAAUACCGCAUACGACCCAUGGGUGAAAGCGGGGGACCGCAAGGCCUCGCGCUAUUGGAGCGGCCGAUGCCCGAUUAGCUAGUUGGUGAGGUAAAGGCUCACCAAGGCGACGAUCGGUAGCUGGUCUGAGAGGACGACCAGCCACACUGGGACUGAGACACGGCCCAGACUCCUACGGGAGGCAGCAGUGGGGAAUUUUGGACAAUGGGGGAAACCCUGAUCCAGCCAUGCCGCGUGCGGGAAGAAGGCCUUCGGGUUGUAAACCGCUUUUGGCAGGAACGAAACGGCGCGCGCUAAUACCGCGCGCUAAUGACGGUACCUGCAGAAUAAGCACCGGCUAACUACGUGCCAGCAGCCGCGGUAAUACGUAGGGUGCAAGCGUUAAUCGGAAUUACUGGGCGUAAAGCGUACGCAGGCGGCUGUGCAAGACAGAUGUGAAAUCCCCGGGCCCAACCUGGGAACUGCAUUUGUGACUGCAUGGCUAGAGUCCGUAAGAGGGGGGUGGAAUUCCACGUGUAGCAGUGAAAUGCGUAGAGAUGUGGAGGAACACCGAUGGCGAAGGC
rnacentral:rRNA from 1 species